rnacentral:hammerhead_ribozyme from 1 species
GUUCAACUGACGAGUCCCGAGUAGGACGAAACGCGCGUCAUAGAU